UCGCGAAAACUUUGCAAUACACGAAAGUGUGACAGGGUCAUCCCGAGUGCCGACCGCUGAGGUUGGCUUUUACCCAGUCUAGAACGCUGGGGGAAUAAGGAGAGGGCAAGUCUGGUGUCAGCCGCCGCGGUAAUACCAGCUCUCCGAGUGGUGUGGACGUUUAUUGGGCCUAAAGCAUCCGUAGCUGGCUAAACAAGUCCCCUGUUAAACCCACCGAUUUAAUCGAUGGUCUGCGGGGGAUACUGUUCGGCUAGGGGACGAGAGAGGCAGGCGGUAUUCCCGGGGUAGGGGUGAAAUCCUAUAAUCCCGAGAAGACCACCAGUGGCGAAGGCUGCCUGCUAGAACGCGCCCGACGGUGAGGGAUGAAAGCUGGGGGAGCGAACCGGAUUAGAUACCCGGGUAGUCCCAGCUGUAAACGAUGCAGACUAGGUGUUUGGACGGCCACGUGCCGUUCUAGUGCCGCAGGGAAGCUGUUAAGUCUGCCGCCUGGGGAUACGAUCGCAAGAUUGAAACUUAAGGAAUUGGCGGGGGAGCAACCG
rnacentral:rRNA from 1 species